rnacentral:rRNA from 1 species
GCUGGCAGUACGCCUUACACAUGCAAGUCGUACGAGAGUUUUUAACUCAAGUGGCGGACGGGUGAGUAACACGUAAGAAUUUGCCUUUAGGAGGGGGACAACAACUAGAAAUGGUUGCUAAUACCCCAUAUGCUUUCGAGUGAAAUGGAUUUUUCCGCCUAGAGAGAAGCUUGCGGCUGAUUAGCUUGUUGGUGAGGUAAUGGCUCACCAAGGCGACGAUCAGUAUCUGGUUUGAGAGGACGAUCAGACACACUGGAACUGAGACACGGUCCAGACUCCUACGGGAGGCAGCAGUGGGGAAUUUUCCGCAAUGGGCGAAAGCCUGACGGAGCAAUACUGCGUGAGGGAUGACGGCCUAUGGGUUGUAAACCUCUUUUAUCAGGGAGGAAUCAAUGACGUGUACCUGAUGAAUAAGCAUCGGCUAACUCCGUGCCAGCAGCCGCGGUAAGACGGGGGAUGCAAGUGUUAUCCGGAAUCACUGGGCGUAAAGCGUCUGUAGGUGGUCCAAUAAGUCAACUGUUAAAUCUUGAGGCUCAACCUCAAAAUCGCAGUCGAAACUAUUAGACUAGAGUAUAGUAGGGGUAAAGGGAAUUUCCAGUGGAGCGGUGAAAUGCGUAGAGAUUGGAAAGAACACCGAUGGCGAAGGCACUUUACUGGGCUAUUACUAACACUCAGAGACGAAAGCUAGGGUAGCAAAUGGGAUUAGAUACCCCCAGUAGUCCUAG